UUCCCGGAGACAGUAAGCAGCGGGGGGAGGGCUUUCGUGUGCUCGUUCGCGGGUGUAGGGCCUUUCCGCCCUCGCGUUUCCUUCUGGCUUUUUCGUAUCCACUCGUUUCCGAGCUCCUUUCUAGCCCGCUUGCCUAACCUGGGAGUACGAGCAGUGUAACGCCUUGAGGAUUCUCCCUUGUUCCUCCUCCAAGUCCAGGAAUCCAUGUAUGAAGCGUAUUACUUAAUUUCAGUUACAAUGUUAAUUACAGAAGACAAGCGGUUACUGAAUCUUGCACCAUAAUUAAUCAACCUGAUAUUUACUUACUACAUUGUUCGUACCGGAUUAAGAUGUAGCUAGACAAGCAGGGCAAGGAAAGUGAGUGACAGAAGCAUUAUCAUGGCACACUGCCUCCCAUUGGGAAAGUUCAUCUUCCUUCUGAAAGAGACGCCUUCAGGGAUCAUGUAAUUUGAAUUCCCUGUGAAUUUGGUGUCAUCUUAGCUUGACCAGCUCUGGGAGAACAUAUUAACCUCCCCUUGUGAUUUUCAGAAAACCAUUCUAAUUUAGCAAGUAAUUAAGGGUCACAUGUAGGAUAAGGAGCUGGAUAAGCUUGGAUUACGCACAGGAAGCUUUGUCUCCACGGCAACCCCAGCAGAGAGCUGCUGGCGCCGGGGUCAGGCCGUCACUGAAGCCCGCACUGCGUUUCCACCUGGUGAGCCAGUGCUGGAAACAGACGCCUGCAAAGCUGGUCAUCGCCAAAAACUGCAGGACAAAGGCUGCAGCCAGUGGGAGCGUUCUGCCGAGCGAGGUCGAGAGAAGUCCACGACAGUGACGCUUAACAGACCCCGCGUCUUUGUAGGCUAAAAUUUCUUCAGCCAUCAUCCACGGCUUCCGCUCAGCGUGAAGCGGCCGGUGUCUGUGCAAGCUGCCACCGCUACCGCUUAGCCUCUGAGCCCGACGUCAGCCCCUGGCUGGCUGCGGGCCAUGCCCAUGGGCAGCAGGUCAUGGGGCACCCCAGCUCAGGGCACGACUCCCCAUCCCAGGGCUGCAGGCUCUCGGAGACAAUCUCCUAAGUCUGUCGGGGCAGGCACGGUGGGUUAACUCCACAGGCAUGGCUAAAACAUCCAAGCAGCUCGUUCGGACAUGUACCUUUUAUUUUUAGCCUUGAAACCAGGAAAACGACGUUUUUCUUUCUCACUCUGGAGGAACUCUCAGACUUCUAUCCAAUUUAAAAUCAACUCCCCUGACUUCAGAAAUUCCUUGUUCUCACCAGCUUUUAUUUCUAUGAAAAUAUACAGGCUUUCCAGUGGAAGAGGCUUUUCGACAAGCAAAUAAGUUAACAUUUUCUGUUAACCUGCUUAAUGUAAGAAACAUUAGGGAAUUAUUGUGCUAUAAAGCAGCAUUACUGAAAUAUUAUAGGGUCCAAAGAGUGGGAAUGACCUAUUGGAUAUGAAAUGCUUUCUCAAUUCAUUUGUACCUUAGCUAUCUUGUAUGAUCUGUGAGGGAAGGAACCACGCAAGUUUUUUUCAAAGCUCUCUUCACAACAAAUGAGCAUGCUCUACUUUUUGCUAAAAUCAGAUGACAUUGUCAUACUAUCCAUUUCAACAGCUGGGCCAUUCUUGGAUCUGGAAUGCAGGUACAUCUAGCUUUAUACCUUGCUAUUUGGAAAUGUGUCUCCAUUGUGGAUAUAUAAAUGAGGACAAUAUUUAUUUCACCUUCUCUCUGCUAUUUUCACAUGCAGCCUUUGUUUUGCAGUAGACCAUCGCUGCUGGCACUGCGGGAAUUUAGACACUCCACUCUCUCGAACAUACACAUUAGAACUUGCCAUAAAAAGAAGACUGGGAUGAAGGUGAGCUGAGAACCUGUCAUGUUUGUGGCAGCCACUGGCCCCAGCGAGUCUCCAGUGAGCAUUACGUAUACUGCUGCUCACAGAAAACUGACCAAAGGAGAGCACUGCAAGGGGGAGAGAUGUGAAAAACACAGCUAUCACUAAAGGCACACGUCUUACAUCAGUAAAGAUUAGAUGAAGGGGAGCACACCACAGCCCAUCAAACAUAAAAAUGGUUCUUAAAAAACAACAACAACAACAACACACAAAACAAAGCAGAAAGGAAUUUACCUUCUGUGUCGACAAGUAAGUGUUAAAAAGAAUAGUGGCUUUAAAUGAGUAUUGGUUUUAAACAGGAAAUUUUGUAUUUGUUACAACUGCAGAGUACCUGGAGAGAGUGCUGACAAGGCAUAGCAUCUCUGCACAAGCUUUACUGGGAAAAGUGUCUGUGCUGCAGUGUCUGCUUGGCACUAGGCAGGACAGAUCAUCUCUGAGAAUUCCUUCCUUUCUAUCUGCUUCCUGUGAUAAUCCUUGCUCUGCUGGUAUUUCAUAGUUCCAGGCUAAAAAAAAAGUCACAAUAGUAUCUAAUUCCUCAAGUGGUAUUACCAGGACAGUUAAAGGACUUGAGCAGUGUUAGUAAUAAUUUGUUUGCACGUAAAAAUGCUGUACAGACUGAGAUAGGGACAGAGAACAUUCUUUCUCUGGUUAUUUUACUAUUUUAUUUAUCAUGCUACAUCUUUGGUUCCCCUGGCCUGGACUAACGUCAGAGUUUCUAAAAUAAAGUAUCCUUGUUCAAACAUUAUUAUGAUGCCAUUUUGUUGCAGAAAAUCUUCUGUGGCUCUUCUCUUGGCUGCAAGUUGUCUUCCACACCUUGUUGUGGUGCAUGGUAUGCUGUUGCAGGUGACUUCUGAGUGAGCUCAGGCAAAGCUUCAGCUGUGCCAAAAAUUGCUUGGAAGUUCACUGGUAUGAAUUUACCUUGAUAUGGAACAAAUAAAAAUAUCCUGCCUGACUUAACAAAGUUCAGGCUGCAGAGUAAUUUUUGUACCUAUCUUCGUAUUAGUCAUAUCAGUGUAUUUAGGCAGGAUCAGAAUCCCAACGCCACUGAGAUACAAGGAAAACUUUUAGCUUAACCUGACUCCUGGCAGGUCUCAGUUUAGAUUCUGAUCUAGCAGCUGUACCAGCCAAAAUUUUACCAAGGGUAACAAGUGAGCCCUAGGAUCAAGUCAGAUAUUCCACAGCUUAAGUAGUGGGAAAUACACAAACAAGGUUAUGGUGAGGCUUUGUAGCUUCCACAUGGCUCAGAUACUCUUCAGCAAGCUGUCGACUUCUACAAGUGUUCAAUUCCAGCCCUUUUCUUUUUAGCAUUUUGUUAAGGAAAUACUGUUAAUGCUGGUAUUCCAUAGUAAAGGAAGCAAAUGCUUUUCACUGUGCAGAAGGCUUGGUGUUCGUAUUUGCUCUAGUUCCAACAAUUAAUAGCAGGCUAGUUAGCAAAAUCAUGAGUAUGAGGUAAAGGCAAGGCACAUCCUUCUCAGCUGCCAGUUUAGGGAUGCCAUCACAGAUUAAAAAAAAUGACAGGAGACACCAUUUUUUAAUUAUUAUUCCCAGAUCAAAACUAAACCUUAGAAACAAUGCUGAGUCAUAAAUUAAUAAAGGGCAUCGGUCUUUCUGUGACCUACUUAGUAGAUGAGGCUAGAUUUCAAAAAGAUGCAUAAAUUGGUUGGCUAAUUCCACAGACACAUGAACUAAUGAAUCACUAAGAGCCUAACAUGCUUUAAAAGUCAAACAACUUAUCCUAAAUGUGGCCUAAAGCUGCAGAAAAGCCAUGGUAGUAAUUAAUAUUUUGAUAGUUUUAGCUUUCAUAAACAUCCACUGGAAAUUGAUGGGGGUAUCUCACCAUGCAAGGAUCCUUUUUGGACCCCAGGAGGCAAGUGGAGUGGCACAGAAGCUCAUCCUCUUUCUCAGUCUUAGCUUCUUUUGUGCUUUACUCAGUUCUAGGGCUGCAGACUGACAUCAUUCAGUCAGCUCUUCCCUGAUCUUGUUGAGUAUUUUAAAUACUGAACAUCCUCACUGCAGUGAGAGCCCCCUUCUAACAUGCUCUCCUGCAGCUCUGAAUGGCUAGGUUUGAGUUACAUUUUAUUAAAACUAGCAAUUGUCCUGUUCAUGUUUAUCUCAAGCAGGAGUGAGCUGAGCUGAUUUAAAAACAUCUGAAUCUCUUUGAGCAUUAGAAGUUGACAAAUUUAGAAUCUUUUAAAGCAAAUGACCUGGAAGUGAACCAUGAAAAACAUGGAAGUACCCCCAGCUUUGAACUUUGGCUUCUUGAGCACAGCCUCUGAACAAGCUGCUCAUGUGAUCCUCGGCGCAGCACAACACAACUAGCACCACACAGUUUUCUCGUUGCUACUCUCUUCUACUUGAUGAGUCCUUUUCACUUGCCAGGCGUCUACCCCAUACUUGGAGUCUCACCUCUGCUACACUUGUUCUCUCGUUUGCUUUACCUCACCUCCCUUCCUUUCCCUGUUUGCUUUCUCCAGGAUACUUAUCUGCCUCCUGACAAAAGGCCUUCCCUCAGCAGUUGGACACAUUUCUAGAUACUUCAUUGUUUCUCUAAUGCAACAAAACUGUCAGUCCUAGUGGGGAGGACAAAAUAAGGAAUGAUCAAUCCCUAAAGCAUCAUUUGAUGGCUGAAGGACCGUCCAGAUUAUUUUCACUGCAAACAUGCACUUUCCCCCUUUAGUUUCUAGAUGCAAGCAGGAAGGAGGAGUUCUUGGUAAUUUUGGUACCCAAAGGAUAACUAGUCAGGUAGAAGUCCCGUUCAAUUUAAUUUUAUCAAGAAUUUUACUGCUUGAAGUAGAAGCAAUGUGCAGAAUUCAAGGGAAAACAUCCAUUUAUGCACUGAGACACACUCACAGCAUCCUGGUCACUCAACUGACUGGCUUCCAGGGACCUUGGAUGUCGGGGCUCCUGACCGCAGCAAGCGUGCAGCAGUGCAGGCUGGGCUGCCCCAGCCACCCCUCAGCAGCGCUGGGUCACCACACGGGUCCCUGCAGAAGGGUUCCAGAGUGCACAUCCGGCUCUCCUCGGACAUGUGUGCCCCAGCCCUGCCCCACUGUGCCCUCUUGGACUGUGGCUGUAUUCUCUGGUUGCUUUAAAACCCCAUCCCUUCCAUUUGCAGCAGUUCCCACUGAGCUUGGCUGCAUCUCCCUCAUCUUUCUUCAGCUGCACUGGAAGCUGCAAAGCUUGUUUCAGCCUACCUGGCAACUGUGUUUAGUAUCCAGUGUUACCUAAAGGAUGGAGAUACUUCUUAGUACAUUCAGUAUUAGAGAAUGAGGUCUUGCAUUUCCCAACAUUACACUUCUAUUCUUUUUACCAGAAUAAUUUUAUUGAAGAUAACCAGUGUUGUUUCACAGGAGCCACUUCUCACCUUUCUCUGAAACAAUGAUCACUUUUUUCUACAAUGCUGAGCUUGUGACUAGCACUGCAUGCGGUAUCCUGGAGAAUCCAGUUCCUGAGUUGAAGUCUGUUCCUCAUUACUGGUAUGCUCGUUAAUUUCCUGUCACCAUAACCAAAUGACUAGGCUCUAGCAGCAGCACCUUGCCUGAUGCUGUGCUUUAACUCCUGGAAAGGCAGUAGCAUGUAAUGGGAGCACUUUAUCAGCUUGUGAGAUACUUCCCCAGUGAGCAUAGCACAGAAAUGCAAAUAGAAAAUGAAGCUUGAAAAAUCAGGUGCCUUUUGCUUUGCAUACUUCACCGACAACACUGCCGCUUUUGCUCUUUUAGGCAACCUACAUUCCCAUGCCUUCCUUUAGUCAGUCAGUCCAGCUCACCAUAUGACCAUUACCAUCAGUCCUGUAGCUUUUUCAGCUGCUCACUGUACCUGUGGUGUCUCAGGACAUAGCACAGGGCAUGUGGGCCUGACUCCCUAGCAGCCUCUGUCCUGGGCAACCUAUACAGAAGAGGGGUUGGAAAGGACAGGAGUAAAAACCCGCCCACCUUUCUCUAGGGUUCUUUCCAGACUUGCUGCAUUUUUAGAGUCUCCUGUGAUACCUUUCAGGUACUUUCUUUGGAAACUGCAGUCCCUCAGUGUCACUCCUUGGGCCUUCUCCCUUCAGGUGAACUUCAUAAACAGGCUUUACUUCCUUUGGAGAGACGUUUUCAGACUUUAUUGUACAGAGCAGCAGGAAGAAGGAUGAGGAAAGGCAGGGAAGUUUCACUCACCUGCCUCUCCUGUGUUACAUGCUUUCCCUGGGGACAUUACCAACGGCAGCAGUGGCAGGCAAGUGGCUUUUCCAUGUGAGGUGCUGUGCCACCGUACCGGGGAUACAGAGGGACAGCUGACAAAUCCCUUCUCAGGUCAGAGAUGACAGAUUUGUUGUCCACUGGUGGUAGGAGCCACUGGCUCAGGUUCACCUGUGAGCUGGCCUGAAGGUACACCGAUGAACCGUUAACAGCAGAAACAGAAGGUGCAACGCUAAUUACAGGUGUGAUACUGCCUUUGCCGUGUGACAUCUGCUCCAUGCACUUUGCAACCACUAAACUGUUUACCACUUCUGCAGGAAAAGAUAAGGCUUCCAGACCCAAACCUACCAAGAAGGGGAGGUGGUUUAAGGCACCUUCAUCUCCUUCAUUAGGUGUAGUAGUGCUGCAUGUGCCCCCAAGCUGCAGCUGAUGACACAACAGCCAGAGCAGUAACGCCACCAUCCAGCAGGGCUGGGAACACUGGGAGCUGGGUAGAGACCCCAGCUCUUUUGCCUCUUUGUUCCUUAGGACCAGGAUCACCUUCAUAAACUGAAGGUCAUUCCUAUUUAAUUGGGUGCACGCGCUCAUUAGGAAGGGAGGGGGCCUGGGAAGCACCUUGCUAACAGCAAGCCAGCCAAAAGGUAAACUGGAGGAGAAAAUGGAAAGAGGGUAAAAUAUGUUUAAGGAUUACAUCUUGGCAUGCACAGCAUAUGAUUUUACAACCCAUGUCAUACUGGUUUGGGGUAAAGCAGAAACUGUUAAUCCCAUGGAAAAUGCAGGAAACCCAAGGGACUACCUCCUGCAAGCAUUCCGUGAGAACACAGCAGGUAGCAAGGGUGAGAGCGUAGAUCUCUGCAGGCACAAUCAUACCUGCUGUGGAAAACACAUGAAGAUUUUUAAGUGCAUAAAUUAGGGGCAGGGGGAAGAAAAUAUAUUUGCUCAAUUAGCUUUAAAGUGAACCAAGUUUAUUAUUAUUAUUAUUAUUAUAUAUAUAUAUAUUUUUUUAGUUCUGCAUCUUUUGGGGCUUUUGAGAGCAAAGAACUCCGCUGAGCUGAUGGUGGUGGAUGGCUCUAGGAACACGUUUAGAGGAAUUAAUUGUAACUUUAUCCACUAGAAAGUUUCUUUCUACCAUCCAGCAAGAAAUCCCUCGUUUUCAUGACAACCAAAAGAAAAGCAAGUGCCCAUGCAUAAGAUUGAACAGAAUCCUGUUUAGAAUGUGAAUAGGGGGACAAAUUACCAGGCAUAAACACCUCCCCAUGUAACUGGCUGUUUGCAAACUAAUUGGUUUUUCCAACUGCUGA